AAUCUGGUUUUGAUUCUUCCGACCCAAGAGUAAUAAGACUAGUAUCAUUAGCAGCACAGAAAUUUGUCUCCGAUAUAGCUAAUGAUGCUUUACAACAUUGUAAAAUGAAAGCCUCAGGUCAAAGUUCAAAGAAACAAGGAAAGG